UUCAGUUCCUCCCGCUCUCGUCAAUGAGAGCGAGCAGGACGGGGCUGUACUCCUGCAGCCUCGGCGCAGCUGGGAGCGAGAAGCAACUCAAAGAGCCGCUGAAGCCAAGCGUUCUCCUAUUGCAGACUGAGCGAGGGCUGCGGAGAGCUUCUGCUCAUCCCAAACCAGCGAGUGUUUGGGAGUCGGUAGGUGAGUUCCUGCUUCUAGCAGCAGGAUGGGACUGUGUGUUUACCCCCUCCUUACGUUUAUCUUUAGAAGCACGAUCUCAUUCCCAUUGUGAAGGCACACUGGGACAGCUUGUGUGACUGGAAUGCUGUUUUGGAUGGCUGUGUUCUCUUUCAGCAUGACAAACCAGCAGGGUGAUGGAGUUGCUGUUGAGGUGAGAGAAUCACACAGAAUCACUGAAUUGUAGGGGUUGGAAGGGACCUCCAGAGAUCAUCGAGUCCAACCCCCCUGCCAAAGCAGGUUCCCUACAGCAGGUUGCACAGGUAGGCAUCCAGGCAGGUCUUGAACAUCUCCAGAGAAGGAGACUCCACCACCUCCCUGGGCAGCCUGUUCCAGUGCUCCGUCACCCUCACUGUAAAGAAGUUCUUGCUCUUGAGAGAGCUGGAUGGAGCCCUGCCUAGGGAUGAGUGAAGAAGAAGAGAGCGCUCAUGUGAGACUUAAUAGGCAGGUGAAGGUGGGUAACAUCCCUGGAGGGUGUUGGUGACAAACCAGGAUGAGGAAAGCAGGUAAGAUCUGUGCGCAGUUGAAAGCAGCCUUACAGCUGUGGGCAUUAGCUGUCAGGGUGGCUCAAUCAGCCCUGAUAAUAGUUAGGAAAGCAAGGCUGCCAGGCAUGCUUGUUGCAUGAGGCUUCUGUAGUGUGUUGGAACUCAAAAUUUGGACACAGGUGAUAGAGGAGCUUGUUCUUCCUGUUGAGGGAGGGUCAAGUUCAGUAUCUCAUGUGGAAGAAGCAAAGCACUAAGUAGGAUUGAGACGGCAGACUUUGAGGGAGUCUGCUGUGCCCUCUUAAAGGGCCUAGAGGGAGUUAUCCCUGCAGUUAGAGCAUCAGAAGGGGACCAGCAAGCAUUUGCUGAAGCUAGUGUGAUUCCUUUUUCUGCGCUCAGGAGGAGCGCUUCUCUAGGAGCAAGAAAGUGAGGGGAAAAUGGCAGGAGAGCCGCAUGGGAGAGCGAGGAGCCCCCAAAAGAGGAGCAGGAAGAGAUGGGAGGCCCAGCCAUCAGGACUGAGACUGCAGAGACCUCUCUUUGAGAAUCCUGGAUCCCACAGGAAAGAGCCUUUGAGGAAGGAUGACUUCUCGAUUGCAGAAGAGGAAAGAUUUGUGAGGAUGGGAGGAUAGCCAGCUUCUCUGCAGCCUUCAAGGAGGGUGAGGAGGAUGGCUUCAUCUCAGUCCCUGGAUCAGCUCGUUCCAGAUGUCGUCUCCAAGCAACUUGAAGGGAAGAGAUUUCUAUGGGGUAGUGAAGGUGGAUUCACGGCGGGGAAAUCAGGCCAGACCGGCAUGGGAGCCUUCUAUGUGGUUAUGACCAUCUCUUCAGAUGAGAGAAGAGCAGGGGAUGUUGCACACCUGACUUCAGUGAGGCUUUUAACACUGUUUGUGGCAGUGUGCUUGUAAUGGUGCUUAUUGAGAGUGAGAUUGGUGAUUGAGGGAGGAUGGGCAGGCUCAGCAGUGUAGUCAGAAGCUGUAAUAAUGUUGUUACGUGGGGUGGGUACUGCACCUUACUGUGCUUAUUUUUUAUCAGUGACCUGGAUGAAGAGAGAGGGAGCUGAUGAUGUGAAGCUGGGAGGAGCAGCUGACAGCAGGACCCAGUGAACUUCAAGGAGAGCAGGUCAAGAAGAUGAGAAACUUGAGUGCAGUAGUUGCAGUAGUGCAACAAAGAAGAUGAGGAGCUUGGAGCAUCUCCCUUCUGAGGAAAGGAUGUUCAACAACCUAUGGCUGCUUUACCAAGAGAAGGGAAGGUUGAAGGCUGCAGACAAGUUUGUUUUGCUUUUUGCAAGGAUUGGCUGAACAUGAGGUUUCAUCAGCGCUCUUCAAGGUUCAGUGCUGAAGCAAGGAUCCUGGUAGCAACUGCUGCCUCUGCAGAGGGAGGCUUUAAGGUGUUGUUUUGAGCAGUGCCUGCAGUGGAGAUUCAGCAGCCAUUGUUCAGGAGUUUGGAGUGUUCUGAAGAGGAAGGUCAGAAUUUUCGAUGGGGAGCUGCACUCUAUCAAGAUGAAGAAGUGCAAGUGGCUGAUGAGUGUUCUUGGUCCUGGCCUGGAAGGGAGAAGCUGAGUUCUGUGUUCUGCUGGAAGAGAAAGUACAGUUUACUUCAAAGUGAGGUCAUCUACUUCAAUAGCACAGCGUGUCAGCCUCGUUUGACUUGCUGAAUGAAACCGCAGUACUUCUCCAGUGCUCGUGUUGUUGCAGCUGAGGUUCUGGAGAGCAGCCUUACUUGAAUUUGGUGGAGCUUCAAGCAUGAAGAAAGAAAUGCAACUGACUCUGGAUUCUGCCUUUGUGUUAUAUGCUUGCAUAUAAUAUUCUGUUCUUAUAUAUUCAACAAUCUGUGAUUAUAAAUCACCUCUGCUUUUAAUUAGUUAAUGACCCAGUUCUGCUGUACUUCCAGUGUGGUAUCUGGGUAACUCAGGAUAGAAAAAAGUUAAUUGACUUACUUGCAAUACCACUUUGCUAAUGACUUCAGGCAACAGUUAAUACAUAACAGAAUCAUCAGGUGCUGCCUUAUGCAAGUGAAAGAAUGGAAGUUGGGAAGUUAUAAAAAUUCUACAACCACUGGAGAAAGGGAAAAGUCUCCUGCUGUGAACUGUUCACUUAUUUCAGAGCAGAACUCUACAGGCAGAGUCGUGGGUUUUGAACUUCAUUUCUUGGACACCAAAGUCUUGCAAGCAAACAUGAAGCGGAGACUCUCUGCCCUUUGUCUCUUACAGUAGCAGGUUAUGAAAAUCUUAUUCAACUCGAAGGCAUCCUCUAUCUACCAACAAACUGAGAUCUGUACUAAAAUCUAACUCUGGUCAAAUUAAAAUAGAUCACAAACCUUCAAAGAAACUUUGUUAGGCUGCCUGAUGAACAAUAGAGUGCUUUGAGGGAGAGAAACUACAUUUCUGACCACAACCAAGAAUGAACCAGGCUCUGUUGUUGCCAUGAGUGUCAGAGAAUAUUCCUUCUCUCUGGGUUUUCUCUUACUAACUAGCAGACAAGUUUGUUAAGGGUGAUGUUGCUCUCAGUUUUAACACAAGAAAAAUAUGUAAUCCUGAUCUGUAGUAGCUGAUUGAUCUUAUAACAUUGAGCUCUGUCUUAGUGUAUUCACACAAAAUUGCUCAAAAUAGAGCCAGGUGCUGAGCUUCUUUCCAUAGAUAUAAAAACAAACAGGCUUCACAAAAAUGACUCAAGGAUUUUUCUUCUACUUGCCACUAGUGGGGGCAGAGCCCUCUGUCCCUCUAAGCUUUAGUAGCUCUGUAUUAUUAUUAUUUAGUGGUUACCUGUUAUCUCAGUGCUAAUUGAGGUAUGAAUGCCAAGAACAGGCAAAGAGUAGCAUUUGUUGUGCUGGUUUAGACAUGUUAUGCUUCAACUAUGUAAUUGUAACUUGGAGAUGUAAUGUGGAUGCCCCAUCCCUGCAGGUAUUCCAGGCCAGGCUGGAUGUGGCUCUGGGCAGCCUGGUCUGCUGGUUGGUGUCCCUGCACACAGCAGGGGGUUGGAAGCAGAUGAGCAUUGUGGUCCUUUGCAAACCAGGUCGUUCUAUGGAAAGUGAAUCAAAUUAUCUUAAAAAGAGAAAAGAAUGUACUCAGUGAUGUCACAUAUGAACAUCUGAGAAAAUAUCUCAAAUCACAAAGAAAAUACUAAUUCAGAGCCAAAGUCAAAAUCUGCUCCUUUUUAUUUUGAGUGGCGUUAAAUAAAGUUUCCCUGUGCUUUUCAGUGUUGGUUAACACCCUGCUAUUCUGUCCCAAAUGCUUGUUUUGUGACAGAUCCUUAGCCCAGCCCAAACAGUUCAUCCUUGCCCACCCUCUUGGCCAACUGUUCACAUACACUUGCAAUCACCCAACAGACACAUUCACAAGUCAAAACUGCAGCUGCUGCUGUGCCUUUGAAGGAAAUGAGAAGUUUCUGCUUCUCUUUUUUCCCCUCCCUUGUUCCUGGAUGCUUCUAGGUUGUAAGCAUGCAGGAGAAAACUGGAACU